UACACACCGCCCGUCACAUCACGAAAAGUUGGUUGCUCUUGAAGUCGCCAAGCUAACCUUCGGGAGGCAGGUGCCGACGGAGUGGCCGGCAAUUGGGGUG
rnacentral:rRNA from 1 species